rnacentral:rRNA from 1 species
UACGUAGGGUGCAAGCGUUAAUCGGAAUUACUGGGCGUAAAGCGUGCGCAGGCGGUGAUGUAAGACAGAUGUGAAAUCCCCGGGCUCAACCUGGGAACUGCAUUUGUGACUGCAUCGCUGGAGUACGGCAGAGGGGGAUGGAAUCCGCGUGUAGCAGUGAAAUGCGUAGAUAUGCGGAGGAACACCGAUGGCGAAGGCAAUCCCUGGGCCUGUACUGACGCUCA